rnacentral:rRNA from 1 species
GAUAGCUGGUUCUCCCCGAAAUAGCUUUAGGGCUAGCCUCAGCGAGAGAACCUCAGGGAGGUAGAGCACUGGUUGGGCGAGGGGCGGGGAUCCGCUACCGAGUCCAGUCAAACUCCGAAUGCUCUGAGGGGAUAGCUGGGAGUCGGACUGUGGGGGAUAAGCUCCAUAGUCGAGAGGGGAACAGCCCAGAUCAACAGCUAAGGUCCCAAAGUCCGGGCUAAGUGGUAAAGGAGGUAGUUUGGCAAAGACAGUCAGGAUGUUGGCUUAGAAGCAGCCAUCAUUCAAAGAGUGCGUAAUAGCUCACUGAUCGAGCCAAGCUGCGCCUAAAAUACACGGGGCUAAAGCUCGGCACCGAAGCUUUGAGUUUUACCUAUCUUAGGGUAGGUAGAGCAGUAGGGGAGCGUUCCGCGGUAGGGAGAAGGUGGACCGGAAGGACCACUGGACGAUGCGGAAGAGAGAAUGCCGGCAUGAGUAGCGAAAAGGAGGGUAAGAAUCCCUCCCACCGAAAGCCCAAGGUUUCCUGGGUAAAGCUCGUCUUCCCAGGGUUAGGCGGGAGCUAAGCCGAGGCCGAAAGGCGUAGGUGAUGCACAGCCGGUUAAUAUUCCGGCCCCACCUACUGACCGAUAAUACCGAAGGAGGGACGCAGGAGGGUAGGUGCGCCUGGUAGUGAAGAGCCAGGUCCAAGUCCCGAGGGAGGGAGUGUAGGCAAAUCCGCACUUCUGAUGAACUAAGGGAUGAAGGGGAGCUUUCGAGAGAGGGCGAAGGCAUCGAGCUCACACUGCCGAGAAAAGCUUCUAGGGAGGUCAGUAGGUGCCCGUACUGGAAACCGACACAGGUGGGCGAGGUGAAGAUCCAAAGGUGAGCGGGAUAACCCUCGUUAAGGAACUCGGCAAAAUAGCCCCGUACGUUUGCAAGAAGGGGUGCCUGAGUAAGGUGAAAAGCCUGAAAGGGCCGCAGAGAAGUGGCUCUGGGGACUGUUUACCAAAAACACAGGUUUCUGCUAAGGCGUAGAAGCCGAAGUAUAGGAGCUGAGGCCUGCCCGGUGCUGGAAGGUUAAGGGGAGGAGUUAAGGAGAGAUCCUGAAGCUCUGAACCGAAGCCCCAGUGAACGGCGGCCGUAACUAUAACGGUCCUAAGGUAGCGAAAUUCCUUGUCGGGUAAGUUCCGACCCGCAUGAAAGGCAUAACCACUGGAGCGCUGUCUCAACGAGGGGCCCGGUGAAAUUAGAAUUUCCGUGAAGAUACGGAAGACCCGUGGCAGGACGGAAAGACCCCGUGAAGCUUUACUGUAGCCUGGCAUUGAAUUUUGGCACUGCAUGUAGAGGAUAGGUGGGAGGCAAAGAAGGGAGGGCGCCAGCCUUCCUGGAGCCAGCGGUGGAAUACCACCCUUGUGGUGUUGGGGUUCUAACCUCAAAAGAGGAGUCUUUUGGGGGACAGUGUUUGGUGGGCAGUUUGACUGGGGCGGUCGCCUCC